rnacentral:lncRNA from 1 species
GGAUUUUUGAGGCCUCAACAGAUAUUUUGCUUGUUUUUUGGUCAAACAAGGAGACUUUGUUUCUCGUUUUUUUUAAAUAAGAAAUAGUCCCUUACGUCCCCACCACCAAUUCCUUAUAAAAGAUUAGAGCAUUCAUAAGAGUAUCCACAAUCAUGUUAUUUCUUAGCUAAAAUUUAGCUAAAAACACAAAAAAGCUAUUUU